rnacentral:rRNA from 1 species
AGCAGUCGCCACGGGAAAACGGAGGGAGCUAGCGUUGUUCGGAAUUACUGGGCGUAAAGCGCGCGUAGGCGGUUAUUUAAGUCAGGGGUGAAAGCCCGGUGCUCAACACCGGAACAGCCCUUGAGACUGGAUAACUUGAAUCCAGGAGAGGUGAGUGGAAUUCCGAGUGUAGAGGUGAAAUUCGUAGAUAUUCGGAAGAACACCAGUGGCGAAGGCGGCUCACUGGACAAGUAUUGACGCUGAGGUGCGAAAGCGUGGGGAGCAAACAGGAUUAGAUACCCCGGUAGUCCCUGUCUCUUAUAC